AUUGAACGCUGGCGGCAGGCCUAACACAUGCAAGUCGAGCGGAUGAUGGGAGCUUGCUCCUUGAUUCAGCGGCGGACGGGUGAGUAAUGCCUAGGAAUCUGCCUGGUAGCGGGGGACAACGUUUCGAAAGGAACGCUAAUACCGCAUACGUCCUACGGGAGAAAGCAGGGGACCUUCGGGCCUUGCGCUAUCAGAUGAGCCUAGGUCGGAUUAGCUUGUUGGUGAGGUAAUGGCUCACCAAGGCGACGAUCCGUAACUGGUCUGAAAGGAUGAUCAGUCACACUGGAACUGAGACACGGUCCAGACUCCUACGGGAGGCAGCAGUGGGGAAUAUUGGACAAUGGGCGAAAGCCUGAUCCAGCCAUGCCGCGUGUGUGAAGAAGGUCUUCGGAUUGUAAAGCACUUUAAGUUGGGAGGAAGGGUUGUAGAUUAAUACUCUGCAAUUUUGACGUUACCGACAGAAUAAGCACCGGCUAACUCUGUGCCAGCAGCCGCAGUAACAC
rnacentral:rRNA from 1 species